CUUUGCUUCGAACUGCUGAACUAUUGUUAUAAUGAGAACGAAUACAAGUUAAUGAGAGGAUUAAAACGAACUUAACACUAUCCCCAGCAGAAAAUAUGGAAAAAAGCUCUAGACAUUUGUCUUAUUUGUCUAUUGGUUAAUCAACAUUGAUGCUUUUUCAAUCGAAGACUUACUAGAUUUAUUUCGCAUUUUAAUAAGCUGACUCCAUGAAAGACUCCAUCUCGAAACCUUUUCAAAGGCCUUUGUAAAAUGAGUCAAUCUAAAAAAAAGAAAAGUUGGUUUGGAGUGCAGAAAUUUCAAUGAAGCAUGGACGGUAAAAUACCUUUUUACAAACAUUGAUAAGAAAGCAAUUUGUUUAGUUUGCCAGGAAACAUUUGCUGUUUUCAAGGAAUACAAUUUUAAACAGGCAUUUUAAAUCAAAACAUCCAAAAUAUUCAUCACUUUCUUUAAAAGAACUUGAAAGUGCGGCAGAAAACAGGACAAAAAACUUGAAUAAGCAACAAAAUAUUUGUACCAAACAAAGUAAUAUCGAGAAAUCUACCACAAAAGCAAGUUAUGCUGUUGCACACAAAAUUGCUAAGUUCUGUAAACCUUUUACUGAAGCAGUUUGUUAAACAAUGUAUGAUACAAUUGUCGGAGAUAUGUUGUCCUGAAAAAAAAAACAUAUUUUUGAAAAUGUAAGCCUUUCGAGAAGAACAAUAGUACGACGGAUCGAAAAUAUUGCAGAAAUUUUACUUGAUCAGCUAAGAACAAAAUUGCUGAUUUUACAUAUUGUUCUCUGGCUUUAGAUGAGUCCUGCGAUAUUACUGACACAAGUCAAUUAUUAAUAUUUAUCCGAGGUAUAAACAAGAAAUGUGAAGCGAGGAACUUCUUAAUGUGCAUCCAAUGAAAGAUACAACUACCGGUGAAGACUUCUUUAUCGCUUUUGAAGAGUGUUUAGUUAAAGUAAAUUUAACUUGGAACAAAAUAGUAAGCAUCACUACGGAUGGCUGCCUUAGUUUAACAAUGACAAACUGAUUUGACAAAAGUUGUGAAUUUUAUCCGGGGACUUGCCUUAAAUCAUCGACAGUUUGUUGAAUUUUUGAAAGAAAUUGAAAGUGAUUUACGAAAUUCCUUGUUACACUGAAGUGCGAUGGCUUAGCAUCGGUAAAGUUUUGGACAGGUUUCAAUAUUUACUUGAUGAAAUAGUAUCCUUCUUGUCUAUAAAAAAAAUCUGCAUGAUUUUCCUGAAUUGCAAAAUGAGGCAUGGCUAAACGAUUUCUCGUUUGCAGUAGAUAUUGUAAAAUAUUUGAAUGAAUUAAAUAUAAAUCUACAAGGGAAAAACCAAUUCGCUUUAUGCACUCAAACGUCAAAGCAUUUAUGAUAAAACUCAAUUUAUUUGCUAAAAACUUAAUAAGAAAUUACUAAAUCAUUUCCCUUCAUUACAAUCACGACGAGAAUCAUUGAAAAAUACCGAUUUUCUUAAAUAUUGUGCAAUAACACAAGACCUGCAUUCUGAAUUCCAAAGAAGAUUUGAAGAUUUUAAAGCUAUUGAAAAACCUUUAUCAUUAAUUAGUCAACCUUUCAAUUUUGACGUGCAAGAAGCUUCUGUUGAAAUUCAACUAGAACUAAUUGACUUACAGUUAAAUAAUUUACUAAAAGAACACAAUAAUUUACAAAAGAAUACAGAACAUUUCAAACAUUUUUUUAACUAUGUUCAAAAAUACCUAGUUUUAUUUGGUUCAUAUAUUUGUGAAAGAACUUUUUCGUUAAUGAUUUACACGAAAAAUAAAUAUCGAUCACAAAUUACUGACGAAAAUCUACACUCGGUAUUAAGGAUUGCUAUAAGUGAUUUGGAUCCAAAUUUUGAAGAAAUAAUAUCAAAUGAACAUUCCAGAUUUAACUAGAACUAUUCUAUUUUAACGUUUGAUGUUUGUCUUUUCUUUUUAUAAUUCUAUUUACUAUUAUAUUUACAAAAUGUAAUAUAAAUAUAAAAAUGUAAUAAUUAUGAUCAAAAUAAAAUAAUUUGUAUCGUUAAGAUAUAAAUAAAUAAAUA
rnacentral:lncRNA from 1 species